UUAGCUGGACAUCUCUGCUUUUAACUAAACCUCCAGACUUUGGCCCGAUUCUCAGACUUAGUCGUGGUGCACAUGCCACAAGUGGAAGGUCCACGAAGAACAGGAAAGAAAGUGGAUCCUGAGAAAUCGCCCUUCAAAAUGCUGGUCCCAGCAAACUAGCAUGUUUUGAUGAAGAAAGACCCCCUGAAACAUUGGGCAGGUGAUCCAGCAUGGAAGACACCUGGGAUGAUGCAGUCACAGACCAAUACGAAAUGCCAGUUGGAGAACCUGUGGAGAGGAUGGGAUUUCAGCCUCAGUUCAUGACUCAGUUCAUGGUACUGAGUCCCACCAGUGUGACUCCCUGGAGAAGACUGG
rnacentral:lncRNA from 1 species